UACAAUGAAGAGUUUGAUCCUGGCUCAGGAUGAACGCUAGCGGCAGGCUUAACACAUGCAAGUCGAGGGGUAACAGGGAAAAGCUUGCUUUUUUGCUGACGACCGGCGAACGGGUGCGUAACGCGUAUAGAAUCUGCCUUGUACAGGAGGAUAGCCUUUAGAAAUGAAGAUUAAUACUCCAUAAUGUUGAGAGAUGGCAUCAUCUUUUAAUUAAAGAUUUAUCGGUACAAGAUGACUAUGCGUCCUAUUAGCUAGAUGGUAAGGUAACGGCUUACCAUGGCAACGAUAGGUAGGGGGUCUGAGAGGAUUAUCCCCCACACUGGUACUGAGACACGGACCAGACUCCUACGGGAGGCAGCAGUGAGGAAUAUUGGUCAAUGGAGGCAACUCUGAACCAGCCAUGCCGCGUGCAGGAAGACUGCCCUAUGGGUUGUAAACUGCUUUUAUACAGGAAGAAACUUAGUUACGUGUAACUAACUGACGGUACUGUAAGAAUAAGCACCGGCUAACUCCGUGC
rnacentral:rRNA from 1 species